rnacentral:rRNA from 1 species
GAUGAACGCUGGCGGCGUGCCUAAUACAUGCAAGUCGAGCGAACAGACGAGGAGCUUGCUCCUCUGACGUUAGCGGCGGACGGGUGAGUAACACGUGGAUAACCUACCUAUAAGACUGGGAUAACUUCGGGAAACCGGAGCUAAUACCGGAUAAUAUAUUGAACCGCAUGGUUCAAUAGUGAAAGACGGUUUUGCUGUCACUUAUAGAUGGAUCCGCGCCGCAUUAGCUAGUUGGUAAGGUAACGGCUUACCAAGGCAACGAUGCGUAGCCGACCUGAGAGGGUGAUCGCCCACACUGGAACUGAGACACGGUCCAGACUCCUACGGGAGGCAGCAGUAGGGAAUCUUCCGCAAUGGGCGAAAGCCUGACGGAGCCACGCCGCGUGAAUGAUGAAGGUCUUCGGAUCGUAAAACUCUGUUAUUAGGGAAGAACAAAUGUGUAAGUAACUAUGCACGUCUUGACGGUACCUAAUCAGAAAGCCACGGCUAACUACGUG